AACGAACGCUGGCGGCAGGCUUAACACAUGCAAGUCGAACGCAUCGCAAGAUGAGUGGCAGACGGGUGAGUAACGCGUGGGAAUCUACCCAGUUCUACGGAACAACAGUUGGAAACGACUGCUAAUACCGUAUACGCCCUACGGGGGAAAGAUUUAUCGGAAUUGGAUGAGCCCGCGUAAGAUUAGCUAGUUGGUGGGGUAAUGGCCUACCAAGGCGACGAUCUUUAGCUGGUCUGAGAGGAUGAUCAGCCACACUGGGACUGAGACACGGCCCAGACUCCUACGGGAGGCGGCAGUGGGGAAUAUUGGACAAUGGGCGCAAGCCUGAUCCAGCCAUGCCGCGUGAGUGAUGAAGGCCUUAGGGUUGUAAAGCUCUUUCACCGAUGAAGAUAAUGACGGUAGUUGGAGAAGAAGCCCCGGCUAACUUCGUGCCAGCAGCCGCAGUAACAC
rnacentral:rRNA from 1 species